AUUGCUUUUUGGCCUUUUGGCUAAGAUCAAGUGUAGUAUCUGUUCUUAUCAGUUUAAUAUCUGAUACGUCCUCUAUCUGAGGACAAUAUAUUAAAUGGGUUUUUGGAAUUAGGAGUUGGAAUAGGAGCUUGCUCCGUCCUCUCCACACAUCCACCUGGAAUUGCAGUACCUCCAGGAAUGGUACAACCCCU
rnacentral:snRNA from 1 species